AGGGGGCUGCAGCUCGUUUUGCACCAUUUCACCUGCAGCAACUUGGGUUAGAGAGAGAAUCUAGAGAGAGAAAGUGUAGAUUUGAGUUCCUCGUAAUAGGCAAAGAUCGCCUACUUAGAAGAAACACAAAAAGGAGGUCGGUGUAAGAUGCAGGUCAGAAGACCUAUGCAGGA